rnacentral:rRNA from 1 species
UACGAGGGGGGCAAGCGUUGUUCGGAAUUAUUGGGCGUAAAGGGUGCGUAGGCGGCCUGGUAAGCGUGCGGUGAAAGCCCGGGGCUCAACCCCGGGUCGGCCGUGCGAACUGCGAGGCUGGAGCACUGUAGAGGGUAGUGGAAUUCCCGGUGUAGCAGUGAAAUGCGUAGAGAUCGGGAGGAACAUCCAUGGCGAAGGCAGCUACCUGGACCAACACUGACACUGAGGCACGAAAGCGUGGGGAGCAAACAGG